UCGAGUUAGCGACCCUACAAA
rnacentral:piRNA from 1 species